AUAAUCACCAUGAACAUUCAUCACCAACAACAUCUGGACCAUCAAGAGACACUUUUGUGUCCUUCAGGUGUCAGCUGUGAAGAACUCACUGCAGUCCACCAUCAAGAGGACACUUUAGAAGGCAGUACUGCUACUCUGGAGUACAAAUACCACAAAACUGCUGAUGCUGGUGAUUAUUUCUUCUGGUAUCGACAAUAUCCAGGAAAACCACCAGAGUUCCUCCUGGUCAUCUCAGGUUUGAGCAGCACAAGAGCAGCAGAGUCUGUGAAAUCAGACAAAAGGUUCUCAACUAAACUGUCUGAAGAUAAACGUGGUGUGUAUUUGGAGAUCAGCAGUACUGCAGUGACAGACUCUGCUGUGUACUACUGUGCUGUGAGGCCCACAGUGACACAAAACACUCAGUCUGUGGACAAAAACCUCACUCAGUGACAAACAGCGCCACCAAGUGGACACACAGCAUGAGUUUGAAGUCUUUGGACAAAAGCACUUAAACAUUCAACACUAAGAAGAUCCAGUUUGCUGUGGUGUACCACAGGGGUCAAUCCGAGGGUCUCAGUACAAUUUAAAUGUUGGCUUUCUGUCACAUCAUUUGGCAAUAUUGUUUGUGUAUGUCUUGCUAGUGCACUUUU